rnacentral:rRNA from 1 species
GACGAACGCUGGCGGCGUGCCUAAUACAUGCAAGUCGAGCGAAGUUUUUCUGGUGCUUGCACUAGAAAAACUUAGCGGCGAACGGGUGAGUAACACGUAAAGAACCUGCCUCAUAGACUGGGACAACUAUUGGAAACGAUAGCUAAUACCGGAUAACAGUAUUUCUCGCAUGAGAGAUAUUUAAAAGUUGGUUAUGCUAACACUAUGAGAUGGCUUUGCGGUGCAUUAGCUAGUUGGUGGGGUAAAGGCCCACCAAGGCGACGAUGCAUAGCCGACCUGAGAGGGUGAUCGGCCACACUGGGACUGAGACACGGCCCAGACUCCUACGGGAGGCAGCAGUAGGGAAUCUUCCGCAAUGGGCGAAAGCCUGACGGAGCAACGCCGCGUGAGUGAAGAAGGAUUUCGGUUCGUAAAGCUCUGUUGUUAGGGAAGAAUGGAUAUGUAGUAACUAGACACGUAAGAGACGGUACCUAACCAGAAAGCCACGGCUAACUACGUG